CUAGUAAUGGCAGGUCAGCAUACUGCCGUGAAUACGUUCCCGGGCCUUGUACACACCGCCCGUCACACCAUGAGAGUUGGGGAUACCCGAAGCCUGUGAGCUAACUAUUUAUAGGAGCAGCAGUCGGAGGUAGAAUCAAUGAUUGGGGUGAAGUCGUAACAAGGUAAC
rnacentral:rRNA from 1 species